AAUUGAAAAGAAUUAUGGUGCCUACUAAUGGACUUUAUCCGGUAAGUCCACGUGACUUUGUUCGUGGCAGGUAAGUGAUGUCUCUCUCUUUCUUAUUGCGGCGGUUUUGACAGUACUCACUGCUCUGAUCGAUGAGUUUAUUUUGUUUCACACUUACUUUCCCUUGUCUGGGAAGGAAUCAAGAAUAGUGGUUGAUCGUCCUUCAGGUACUCUCGAAAUCAAACAGAUGCUCAAAGAUUCCUCUGAAGAUCAGGAAUUAAGUAAUAUGAAGGUUAGAAAUUAUGAUGCAGCAGAAAGUGUAGCUCAGAGCUUAAGGAAUAGUCAUGAGGAAUCAGCUAAGGUUUCUUCAUUUCCAUUGGAUUUGGGUAGCGGUUUGUGCCCCGUGGAUUCUCUUGAACCAACUUCUAUUAAGGAAGCUGGAAACUUUUUCUUGGUUCAUAAAGUAACCCAGUCCUCACCUUCCCCUGCAAUGUGUUUUGUGGCAAAGGUUCCUCAAGAUGAACAAGAAUCUCAUAUUGUAGCUUUUAGUUCAGAAGAUGGAUCCCGGAAGUUGGAUGACGAGUCGACUUCAUCUAGGACCAUAGGUGUACGGGAUGUACAUAUUUCGAUGCGGUUAAUGGAGGACUUCCUCCAUCUUGCUAAAGAAAAUACAGAAAAGGAUGUGGAAACUUGUGGCAUACUUGGUGCUGUACACGAGAAUGGAACCCUCUAUAUGACUACUCUGAUCAUACCUAAGCAAGAAUCAGCUUCCAAUUCUUGUCAAGCUACAAAUGAGGAGGAAGUUUUCAAAAUUCUAAAUGAAAGAUCUCUUUAUCCUGUGGGAUGGAUCCAUACACAUCCUUCUCAAAGUUGUUUCAUGUCAUCAGUGGAUCUGCACACUCAAUAUUCCUACCAGGUGAUUGACCGAAGUAUCAUGUACUAUUCCUUGCCCUUUUUCUUUCUUGUUAAAGGAUUUCUUUGUUCAAUAACUUCACAUCCGGAUAUGAAUGUCAUACAUGUUCAAAACAUUUUACCGUGUGAAUCAAAUUGAAAUUUGAUUAGCACCAUGACUAAAAUUUGAUAGCAGUUUACUUAUACUUUGUGAAAGUGCUACACCAUGACUGAAUAUUCCUUCUAACAAUGACUCAAUGAAUUGCAGGUGAUAAUAUUAAUCAAAGUAACUCUUAAACUGACUUGAAAUAUAUUCAAACUUUUCCCUUUAUACAUUGCUGUUUAACUCACUGUUUGGCUUUGAUGUAUCAGAUGAUGAUUCCUGAGGCAUUUGCCAUUGUCCUAGCUCCUACAGAUACCUCAAGGAGCUGUGGACUAUUUCGCCUAACUGACCCUGAAGGAAUGAAUAUACUAAAGAAUUGCAUGGACAAAGGAUUCCAUCCACACAAAGACCCUGAUAAUGGCAACCCCUUGUAUGAACAUUGCUCCAAUGUCUACAAGAACUCCAAUCUAAGGUUUGAAAUAUUCGAUUUACGCUAAACUCUGAUUUUGAUGUCAGCACACACUGUUCUUUGACAUAGAUGGAGUACCAUUAGUUAAUUACCAUAAGAAUAUCCUAGUAUCUCUUUUUUUUUUUAAUUAAAAAAUGUUAUUUAAUACAAGUUGAACCUAUAAUUUCAUACAAAUUACUCAAGUCCUCAACAUUAACCGAAAUCUGAAUGCUUGAGGCUUGUCCUAGUUACACUCGACAUUUUGAUGCUGAUGUAAUAAUGUUGUAAUAAUGUUAGUUAGCUUUUUAAUGCUACUCUCCUGUAGUUUAAUGUUU